GCAGAGGCUUCUGAUGAGCAUGUAAGGGAAGCUCCUUGAGUUCUGGAGCCUGGUUCUCUCCCCUGGCCUUCUCCGUAGCUAGGCAUAUAACUGCCUAUCUUCUGUCCAUCUACUUAUCCAUCCAUCUAUCUACCCAUGCAUCCACCCGUGCAUCCAUCCAUUCACGUCUCCCUCUGUUAACGCACCAAAUAUUCGUUGAACAUCUGUUCAGAUACUUUGUCAGGCAUCCAGAUUCCUGUCAAAUGAAGAAAGUGAGAAAGGUUCCAAACAGAAUUCAGUUGUGAAAUCUGCGUUUUGUCCGACCCAUUCCCUCCUUCAUCUGAUAUGAGCAAGAUCCUGUGAUCUUUCUCUCCCACAGGGAGCCCAUUAGCUACGGUUGGGUGUUGUGCCGCACCCCUGGGGUAAGCAUGUGACCAGGCCAGGCAAAUCAGGGUGUUCUAUCCCCCUGGCCAUAAGGAUUGAUUCACGGUUCCUGACCCAAACAGACCCAAAUCCCAUAGACAUGAUAUAUGAACUCCAAAAACAAAGGUCUCUCUUCCUUUGGGAUCAUGCCCAGUAAAGAUGUUGUAAGCAGAGCCUGCUCCUGGCCGUGUUCUCUGGUCAUGGGGAGGGGACGGUCUGCAGGGCAGAGGAUGAAGCUGGCCACAGAGGGCAGUGGAGGAGGGAUGGGUGAGGUCCAAUAGUACAUGAGCGACUGAACCUGGCUGUGCUAAAGCCUGAGCUGUGUCUCUCCGGUACAAGAGCUAACACAUUUUCUUUUGUGCUUACGUUAGUUUGAGUUGGGUUCCCAUCUACUGCAACCAAAAGAGUUCUAUGUUCCAGUGUACCCUCAGAGAAGUGCCAAGUUCCGUGCUGCUGAAGAUGAGGUUUGGGAUGUAAGGAUGUGUCUUUGUGACUCUUUGGGAAAGAGAGAGGAUUCGGAGAGAAGGAGAGGGAAAGAAAGAUGCUCAAGAGGAAAGGACAAUGUGGACCAGCAUUAGCCAGUAUGAUUUUCUGCAAUGGUGGAAAUGCUUCUGUGAUCUGUGCUGUCUAAUUUGGCAGCCAGAAGCCCCCAGGGGCUGUUGACACUUGGCAAUUGGCCAGUAUGACUGAGGAACUGAAGUUUACAUUUUAUUUAAUUGUAAUUGAUUUAAAUACUGGCUAGUGGCUACUGUAUUGGACAGUGCAGGUGUGGACCACAGCCCUGGGGGAGGAAGUAUGAGGAAAAGUGAGCACUUCUGAGGGACUG
rnacentral:lncRNA from 1 species